GGGAAGCCUACCAUGCAAGUCGAGCGGAUCGAAGGGAGCUUGCUCCUGGAUUCAGGCGGCGGACGGGUGAGUAAUGCCUAGGAAUCUGCCUGGUAGUGGGGGAUAACGUCCGGAAACGGGCGCUAAUACCGCAUACGUCCUGAGGGAGAAAGUGGGGGAUCUUCGGACCUCACGCUAUCAGAUGAGCCUAGGUCGGAUUAGCUAGUUGGUGGGGUAAAGGCCUACCAAGGCGACGAUCCGUAACUGGUCUGAGAGGAUGAUCAGUCACACUGGAACUGAGACACGGUCCAGACUCCUACGGGAGGCAGCAGUGGGGAAUAUUGGACAAUGGGCGAAAGCCUGAUCCAGCCAUGCCGCGUGUGUGAAGAAGGUCUUCGGAUUGUAAAGCACUUUAAGUUGGGAGGAAGGGCAGUAAGUUAAUACCUUGCUGUUUUGACGUUACCAACAGAAUAAGCACCGGCUAACUUCGUGCCAGCAGCCGCGGUAAUA
rnacentral:rRNA from 1 species